GGUCUAACGUCCUUGAGACUACAAGGCUUGAGCUCUCUUAAUCGUCUAAACAUCAACACGUGUCAAAGCUUAACGAGUUUGAUAGGGGGACUGCAACACCUCACUGCCUUACAAGACUUGAUAAUUAAUAAUUGUCGGGAGCUGGCAUAUUUACCAGAGGAUAUGCAACAUCUUACUUCCCUUCGACAACUCACCAUCAGGACCUGUCAGAAGUUGACAUGUUUGCCGGAAGGGCUACGACAUGUCACAACACUGGAAGCUCUAUCAAUCAAUGGAAUGACUCCGCCGGAGUGGAUAGGAAACCUGUCCUCGCUUCGACGUUUGGAGUUUAUAGGUUGUGAUAAAUUGACGUGUUUGCCAUCAGGGUUGCAACUCCUAACAAACCUGCAACACCUACGAAUAUGGGAUUGGCCAAGUCUAACGGCUCUGCCGGAGUGGAUUGGAAACCUCUCCUCGCUUCGAUAUUUGGUAAUUUGGAAUUGUGAUAAAUUGGAGUGUUUGCCAUCCGGGUUGCAACUCCUAACAAAUCUCCAACGUCUAAGAAUCACGGACUGUCCCCAAUUAGAGAAGCGAUGCAAGAAGGAUAAAGGCAAGGAUUGGCACUACAUAUCACACAUCCCAUAUAUUGAAAUUGGAUAUCCCAAAUUUCAAUCCCGGAGAGAAGGCGAAUGGUGUGGACGUCUGCUGGAGUUGAAGAGGAAAUGCAUCAACGCUCUCCUUCCUACCUCUUCUUCCAAUUAACAUUUAAGCACCAUAAUUUAAUCAAGGAAUGAAAGUGGGACUAAAGCAAAUGAGAUGGAGAAGGGGCCUAGCAGCACAUGUGCUAUCCUUGUACAGUUGUAGGAGAACGAGCAAAGGGCAGCAUGGUGGUUGAACUAAAAAUCAGGCCGGCCUGCUUAUCAGGUUGCAACUUAACAAACUUUGAAUGUCUACAAAUCUCUGGCUGUCCCCAUUUAUAGAAGCGAUGCGAGGAGAAGAAAGGUGACAAUUGGCACAAGAUAGUACACAUCCCAGAUAUUCAGAUUGGAUAGCCAU